rnacentral:rRNA from 1 species
GAUGAACGCUGGCGGCGUGCCUAAUACAUGCAAGUCGAGCGAACGGACGAGAAGCUUGCUUCUCUGAUGUUAGCGGCGGACGGGUGAGUAACACGUGGAUAACCUACCUAUAAGACUGGGAUAACUUCGGGAAACCGGAGCUAAUACCGGCUAAUAUUUUGAACCGCAUUGUUCAAAAGUGAAAGACGGUCUUGCUGUCACUUAUAGAUGGAUCCGCGCUGCAUUAGCUAGUUGGUAAGGUAACGGCUUACCAAGGCAACGAUGCAUAGCCGACCUGAGAGGGUGAUAGGCAACACUGGAACUGAGACAGGGUCCAGACUCCUACGGGAGGCAGCAUAAGGGAAUCUUCGGCAAUGAGCGAAAUCCUGCCGGAGCAACGCCGCGUGAGUGAUGAAGGUCUUCGGAUCGUAAAACUCUGUUAUUAGGGAAAAACAGAUGUGUAAGUAACUGUGCACAUCUUGACGGUACCUAAUCAGAAAGCCACGGCUAAAUACGUU